rnacentral:misc_RNA from 1 species
ACAAAUAGAACAAUUCUUAUGUUCAACAGCUCAGAUCUUCAAGAAAAUUUCACUAUCGGUGUCAACGCAACCCUUCAGAAGUGCUCCGAAUGGGUUUACGAAAAGUCGGUGUUUAAAGAAACUUACACCUCCAAGAGUCGGGAGGAAGAUAACAGUCUGUGUUGGACUUCUGCUGCUUAUUGUUGCCGCGUUUGCUGUCAGUUGGGCCCCAGAAAUAAUCAGUUUUACCAUCCUAGAAUUCAUUAUAGGAGGCACAAACCACGGCUCCUUUCUCUGCACGAAUGUUCUUGGUCAGGAAUUGGUUGGCCCGUCCAAGAGGAAGUACACGGGUACAAUUCAGCACAUGUUCUUUUCCAUUGGCUUGGUAUAUCAAACUAUAGUCUAUUACUUCUCACGUGACUGGCAGAUCUCGUGCAUAGUUCUGGCAGCAUCUUGUGUCAUUUUCAUCCCGUACUGGUGGUUGAUUCCCGAAUCUCCAAGAUGGCUGAUCAGCCAAGGACGCAACGAAGAGGCCAAUGCCAUACUCCAGAAGAUGGCCAAAGUGAAUGGAACUAAAAUAUCGCCGGAUGUCGUGGCGAAUCUCACUAUCAAGAAAGAGAAGACGGGUAGCUUUAAGGACCUCCUUAAAAGCAAGACGAUGUGCCUUAGAGCGGUCAUUCUGUGUUUCAACUGGUAGAAAGAAGAUGCAUCUAAUGUGCAUGAUGUUAGGAGGCAUAGCGUGUCUUUGUACCAUAUUCACCGUCACCUUCGCCAGAGAGACAUUGAGACCACUGACCAUCGCUCUGGCAGUGAUCGGCAAAAUGGCUUCCUCCGCCGCCUUUGUGUGUGUCUAUAUAUUCACGGUGGAACUCUUCCCCACUGUCAUCAGGAACGUGGCCCUAGGUGGAGGGUCCUGUUUUGCAAGAAUAGGGAGCAUGAUCGCGCCCUAUUUUGUAAUGCUGGGUAUGUCGAUCGGAGGAGCUAUCGGGGAAGCCUUGCCUCUGGUCAUUUUUGGUGCAACCUCCGUUAUUGCCGGUCUUAUGUGCCUUUAUUUACCGGAAACGCUGAACCAGAGGCUUCCGGAAACCAUUGAGGAUGGAAUCAACUUUGGAAGAGUUAAAAAGACAAUGGUCGUUGAAAGAAACGGAGUUGACGAGACACAGAAAAACCUGGUCGGUGACACAAUAGACAACGACGAACUCUAGGAUCCUGUCGACGAUGUUACCAAAGAUUAAAUGUCCACAUGCCUGUGUUCAGUCUGCUUCUGAAAAAUGUCGUCUAUUGGAAACGUAAGCUGUACAUGUAUAUAUUGAUUUGCAAAAUGUAUACAUCACUAACGGCUUUGCAACAAUUUUUUACAAUGCGCGUACAUGUAUAUAGAUACUCUAUGCUAUCUCUAUACUUUAUAUGAGGUUUCAAUCUAUUUGUAUUUUAUGAUUUAUAAUUUGAUAUGAAUUUUUAAAAUGGGAGUUUUAUCCGUCAUUUUUGCUGCAGACGAAAACAUAAUGUGUGGUUUUUUUUACACAAUGCGUUGCGACAAUGUGUCUUCUUUGCAAAUGCAAGUUGUAUGAUUAAUUGUUAUAUACCGUAUACAACUAUUUUUUAUUAGAAUUAAUGUGCAUAUUGUACAUACAAUUAUUUGUAUUUUAUGAUUUGUAUUAAUUUUGUGAUUUAUAAAACCUAAUAC